UACGUAGGCAGCAAGCGUUGUUCGGAAUUACUGGGCGUAAAGAGUGCGUAGGUGGUUAGGCAAGUUAGGUGUGAAAUCUCCCGGCUCAACUGGGAGGGUGCGCCUGAAACUGCCUGGCUAGAGUGUGGGAGAGGGAAGUGGAAUUCCUGGUGUAGCGGUGAAAUGCGUAGAUAUCAGGAGGAACACCGGCGGUGUAGACGGCUUCCUGGACCAUUACUGACACUGAGGCACGAAAGCGUGGGGAGCAAACAGG
rnacentral:rRNA from 1 species